AGCAUUCUCAGAAACUACUUUGUGAUGAUUGCAUUCAAGUCACAGAGCUGAACAUUCCCUUUGACGGAGCAGUUUGGAAACUCUCUUUGUGUAGAAUCUACAAGUGGAGAUAUGGAAUGCUUUGAGGACUAUGGUAGUAAAGGAAAUAGCUUCAUAUAAACGCUAGACAAUAGCAUUCACAGAAAACUCUUGGUGACGACUGAGUUUAACUCACAGAGCUGAACAUCCCUUUGGAUGG
rnacentral:lncRNA from 1 species